rnacentral:rRNA from 1 species
UACGUAGGGUGCGAGCGUUAAUCGGAAUCACUGGGCGUAAAGGGUGCGUAGGCGGGUCUUUAAGUCCGGGGUGAAAUCCUGGAGCUCAACUCCAGAACUGCCUUUGAUACUGAAGAUCUUGAGUUCGGGAGAGGUGAGUGGAACUGCGAGUGUAGAGGUGAAAUUCGUGGAUAUUCGCAAGAACACCAGUGGCGAAGGCGGCUCACUGGCCCGAUACUGACGCUGAGGCACGAAAGCGUGGGGAGCAAACAGG